rnacentral:SRP_RNA from 1 species
UUGUGCUAGGCGGGGAGCUAGCGGUGCCCUUUUCCCGAAAUCCGCUUCAUGCGGGGCUGAAUUCCCUCUAAAGGGUUUUAAUCUGGGAACCUAUAGGUCAAUCUGAUCGGCCGCCGCGCAACAGACGGUUACGAACCUCGUCAGGUCCGGAAGGAAGCAG